rnacentral:rRNA from 1 species
CCGUGAUGGACUAACCGUCUGUCGCUGGGAAGAAGCUUAACUUGGGGGAAACUGCCACGAAAAUAAAACUUUAAUAUAAGUUUGCCUUUCUUUAAUUUUGUUAUUUUAGAAAUUUAAAUUAUUAAUUUAAUUUUUUCCUAGUCCCUUAUCCUAAAGAUGAGGAAUUAUUAAUUUAAUUUUUUCCUAGUCCCUUAUCCUAAAGAUGAGGAGACAUAGGUAGGUAGUUUUUAUUUAUAUAUUUUUAUUUUAGUAUAAAAAAUAAUAAUUUUUGCAUUAAAAAAACACUUAUAUUAAGCUAUUUAGUAUCUGUUAACCCAUUUAAGUAACAUCUCAAAAGUCAUAGCAAGGUAGCUUGUACUGGG